rnacentral:rRNA from 1 species
AUUAGCUAGUUGGUGGGGUAAAGGCUUACCAAGGCAAUGAUGCGUAGCCGAACUGAGAGGUUGAUCGGCCACAUUGGGACUGAGACACGGCCCAAACUCCUACGGGAGGCAGCAG